UCCUGAUGGCUCAGAUGGUAAAGAAUCUGCCUGCAAUGCAGGAGACCUGGGUUCAAUUCCUGGGUCAGGAA
rnacentral:tRNA from 1 species